rnacentral:tRNA from 1 species
GGGCAUAGCUCAGUGGUAGAGCGUCUGCUUGCCAUGCAGAAGGUCGCGGGUUCGAAUCCCGUUGCCC